UGCUCACACCAAAAUUUGCAUAAAGAGAAUACUGUUAUUCCUCCCAUGGCCUUGUCCAAAAUCGGUUUUUUAUUCACUAUUCUUUCGUGGCAUUCAUCAUUAAUGUAUCGUGGCUUCCGAAGACGCUAAUUAUGGCUACAUGGAAUAUUGAACGUGAUCACUCAAGGUUUGGAAGGAGAUUACUUUCGAAGCUUAAUACAUGUCUUCGAAGUUGUACUCCGCAUUCGUCUGAUUGCAGUGAUUGUUGGGUUUGUUUUGCAUGUACGCAUAACGCUUUGCUCGGCAAUGUGUGCGGCUAAGUGGAAAUAUUACAUCAAUUUCCUUUGUAUGUUAUUGUUUCCUUGUCUUUCCCGGAUCCCAUUUAUGGGAUUGCACCGGGUUUGUUGUUGUUGUUCUUUCAUAUAUUGUACGAUUUUAAAAAAAAAGUGAUGUGACUUCCCGUUUAUGAAUAAUAACAUCUUCCAUUUGGAAUGCUUUUUGCACUA